rnacentral:rRNA from 1 species
AAGAGACAGCAGUAGCCACGGUAAUACAGAGGGUGCGAGCGUUAAUCAGAUUUACUGGGCGUAAAGCGUGCGUAGGCGGCUUUUUAAGUCGGAUGUGAAAUCCCUGAGCUUAACUUAGGAAUUGCAUUCGAUACUGGGAAGCUAGAGUAUGGGAGAGGAUGGUAGAAUUCCAGGUGUAGCGGUGAAAUGCGUAGAGAUCUGGAGGAAUACCGAUGGCGAAGGCAGCCAUCUGGCCUAAUACUGACGCUGAGGUACGAAAGCAUGGGGAGCAAACAGGAUUAGAUACCCGCGUAGUCCCUGUCUCUUAUAC